GAUGAACGCUGGCGGCGUGCCUAAUACAUGCCAGUCGAGCGAACAGACGAGGAGCUUGCUCCUCUGACGUUAGCGGCGGACGGGUGAGUAACACGUGGAUAACCUACCUAUAAGACUGGGAUAACUUCGGGAAACCGGAGCUAAUACCGGAUAAUAUAUUGAACCGCAUGGUUCAAUAGUGAAAGACGGUUUUGCUGUCACUUAUAGAUGGAUCCGCGCCGCAUUAGCUAGUUGGUAAGGUAACGGCUUACCAAGGCAACGAUGCGUAGCCGACCUGAGAGGGUGAUCGGCCACACUGGAACUGAGACACGGUCCAGACUCCUACGGGAGGCAGCAGUAGGGAAUCUUCCGCAAUGGGCGAAAGCCUGACGGAGCAACGCCGCGUGAGUGAUGAUGGUCUUCGGAUCGUAAAACUCUGUUAUUAGGGAAGAACAAAUGUGUAAGUAACUAUGCACGUCUUGACGGUACCUAAUCAGAAAGCCACGGCUAACUACGUG
rnacentral:rRNA from 1 species